rnacentral:tRNA from 1 species
GCCGACGUAGCCCAACUGGCAGAGGCAACAGACUUAAAAUCUGUUUAGUGCAGGUUCAAAUCCUGCCGUCGGCA